rnacentral:sRNA from 1 species
UUUUUUUUUUUUUUUAAAUUAGGAUAGCUAUUUGACCAUUUGAAAAUUAAAGACUGCUGAGACAGAGUUAUUUUAGAAUUUUAUUGCCUUUUUUGUGUUGAUUAUGCAUAGGAGUAUGUGUUUUGAUCUGUUAAAUGAAAAACUAGACUGUUUUGAGAAAAGCAAGGUACUCGAAUAAAUUUUAUUAAUUUUUCCGUUCAUUAGGGAGGGCAUUUUUUGCUUGGAAAUAGAUAAUUUAGAUAUAUUUACAUGUUUGGUAUUUGAUAAUGAAUUAUAAAAAGGUUUAGUGACUGAAGCUUUUAAGUAUGCUUAUUUAAAUUUCUAGAGUUGUAACAGUAAAUUUUACCCAUUUUAUAAAGUAGUAGAGAACAGAUACAAGGAAGAGUCCCAAAAGCAUUUUUUUAAAUACUUGGUUUUAAGUCUCCUUUUAUCUUAAUGAUCUUAAGAAUUGGCAGUAGUCAUCAAAGGGGAGGUAACUCAGAAUUGACAUUGUAUUUAAAGGGGAGGCUACCCAGUCCUAAGUGUUUACCACAGUUUCAUACUUAAAAUUGGUGUCGUCAUAAACUGUGGUAAUACUUUGUGAGGCCAUGAGUAUUAGCUGUGCCAAGAUGAUUUACAAAGCAUGUAACGUAUUUUGUUUUAUAAUCAUAAAGUAACUUUCAGUAAGAUGGGAGGCCUAAUCUAUUUUUUAUAUUUUUCGACUUAAUCAUUGAAUAAUAUGAUUUCAGCUACAUUGUGUCGUUCAGGCCAAAUAAAUAUCCUAAUAGUAAUUUAAUCAGAGUUCGGCCCAGAAGGUGCUCUAAGGUCUUAGAAAUCGGGGGUAGUUGCUCUAUUGUCUGAAAGUCUCUGAUGUAUGUAUAUGCUGUUGUUUUUCAAAUUCAGUCAUGUGAAAUAGAAAAUGUUUUUCUAGAUUCCUGCUGUAGCCAUAGCCAUGAUGGAAUGAGUACCCAUUCCAUCAGAGGAACUGGUGGUAGCAAGUCUUAUCUUUAUUUUGCACUUCCCUUUCUGUUUUUUUUUUUUGUCUCUUUUUCUUUUCAUUUUUCUUCUAUCUCCCCUGCCUUUUCAUUUUUUUCUUCUUAUUUACUUUCUUUUUUUUUCUUUUCUUUUUUUUUACCCUCUAUAAUCUUGACUCUUUUGGGACUUUUCUCUUGAUAGAACUUACUCCCUUUUUUCACCUUUGGUUCUAUUUCAUUUCAGCUUGCCUCCCUCCCUCCCUUCCUUCUUUCUUUCUUUUUUUUUUUCUUCCUUCCUUUUUUUUCUUUCUUUUCUUGUUUUCCAAAGGUAACCAAACUAGCAGACAGAAUGCACACAAUCCUAGACCUUGGUUCCAGACCUGGCAUUUUUGCCUGUUUCCUUUGAACAUUUUCCUGUGAUCUUUUUGACCCUGAUUUUUCUCAUCAGUAAGACAAGUGUGACAAUAUCUGCUCUGCUUAUCUCACAAGAUUCUUCUUUGUAUCAAAUAAGAUGAGAGGCAGUACAGGCAGAGAGUACCGGGGUUUAGAACACAGUUCCACACUAACUGGUUACUUGGCUUUGGAUAAGUUAUUAAUCCCCUCUGAUCCUAUCUCCUUAUCUAUGAAAUGGAGAAAAUAGGGUUAUUAUGAAGAUUAGAAAUAGUUCAUGCAAAGCACUUUGCAUAGUCAUGGCUUUUAGUAGGUGCUCACAAAGAUAAUAGAAUAUAAUGGUCACAAAAUUAUGUAAUUGUACUAAGUAAAGAUAAUUCAGAAAUUAGGUACUACAUAAAUGUAAUGUGUCAGCCUGCAUUAGAGUUACUUAACUUUUUUUAAAAAUUCUCAUUCUUAUAUACUUUGUAAAGCCUUUUUUAAUCCUGUUCUUUGUUUCCAUAUCUAUUCUCUUUCUUUUAACCAAUCAUCUUAAUUUUCUUCCUUUAAUUUCUCAUGUUUACUUUCAUAAUCAGUUGUGCCUCUUGCUUCUCUGCCAGCCCCUUCUAUCAGCACAUAUGAAAACACCUUGUAUUUUUUUCUCUCAAACCAUCACAGUUGUUUACACUGUGUUCUAGAAAAGAAAAUGUUCACCAUUAGAAUAUAUUUCUCCUACAGAUUGAAAAAAAUUAGAAGUUGAUUACUGUUUUGAAAAUUGGGCUAAUUCCAGAUGUUUUAAAUAACAUGGCUUUUGUUUUAUUUAAGUUUAUUUUUAUGUUUUAGGGAGGUUUUACAUAAAUGGAGUCCUAAACAAAUAGGAGAACACCUUCUACUGAAAUCCCUAACUUACGUGGUGGCAAUGCCUUUUUAUUCAGCAAGUCUGAUUGAAACAGUGCAGAGUGAGAUAAUUCGAGAUAAUACUGGCAUUUUGGAAUGUGUUAAAGAAGGAAUUGGAAGAGUGAUAGGCAUGGGAGUGCCUCAUAGCAAACGACUUCUUCCGCUUCUUUCCUUGAUCUUCCCUACGGUGCUUCAUGGAGUUCUUCAUUACAUCAUCAGCUCAGUUAUUCAGAAGUUUGUCCUACUAAUUCUAAAGAGAAAGACUUACAAUAGCCACCUAGCUGAGAGCACUAGCCCUGUGCAGAGUAUGUUGGAUGCUUAUUUUCCAGAACUUAUUGCUAACUUUGCUGCCAGUCUUUGUUCUGACGUUAUACUUUACCCAUUGGAAACAGUUUUGCACCGCCUUCACAUUCAAGGAACACGCACAAUAAUUGACAAUACAGACCUUGGCUAUGAAGUGCUUCCAAUUAAUACACAAUAUGAGGGAAUGAGAGACUGUAUCAAUACCAUAAGGCAGGAAGAAGGAGUGUUUGGUUUUUAUAAAGGGUUUGGUGCUGUUAUAAUACAGUACACACUGCAUGCAGCUGUUUUACAGAUUACCAAAAUUAUUUACUCUACACUUCUUCAAAAUAACAUUUGAGAUUUAGGUUCCUUCACUGAGUAGUCUGGAAGAUAUAAUCUGGAUAAUUUGCUAUGAAGUUAUGAGGGAUAAAAGUGAAAUACUGGGGAAGAAAAUGGAUUGGAAAGUAAAAUUGGUACUAAAGCCCAUACUGAUUAUCUUGACUUUGUUUUUUAAGGCAUAGGUAUAUAUUUUGGAUCAAAAUUCUUCCAAAUUUGAAAACUCAAUAAAAAUAACACUUAUUAAAUUCUAGUUAGUGUAGCACUCAUGCUGAAGUAAACAUGAUCGUAGGCAGAAGCAAAAUUUUAUUAUAAAAUCUAAAACAAAACUUUAUAGAGUUGAAUCUAUUCCAUCUGACUUCAAUAUUUGCCAAACGUUUAUUUUACCUCCUAGAUUGAUGUUGGUAUAGUAUCCUUAAUACAGUGUAGUAUAUUAAUGUCCUUAAUACAAUCAGGAGGUUUUUACCUUUAAGCAAAUAAAUUAUGUCAUUAUUGAAAAAGACUUAAGGGAUGAUUAGACUUGGCAAUCUGUAAGCAGGUGUAUAAAUGUUUUAAAUUGCAUUGUCCCUAUGUAACUAUCCUAAUGGCUAUAUAUAUGUAUUUUAUAAAGCCAUUUAUGUAUACACAUGUAACUUGGAAUUUCCUUCAUCCCUACACAUUUUCUACACUUACAUCACCUUAUUGCAUAAAACAAAGUCAUGCGCUUUCUGCUUGAACAUCAAAAUAUCAAAAGCCAAGGUACCCAAAAGAUACAAGUCAGAGACAACAUCCUUGUCCAUAUCCAAACCCAGUGUUUCAGUGCUAGCAACUUAAUUUCUCAUACAUUUAUAGAGUUUGGUUUGCUUUGCUAGUUGUGUGAAUCAUUGGGCUGUUUUUAGAGCCACUGUUAAGAGAGAAUAUAAAAUAAUCAUGACAAUUACUACUGUUUCCACAUUUACAAAUUGUGUACUUAAAUGAACCUCAUUUCCCUUUUAUUUCUGAAUGGCUUGUCUGAGAGGAAACAAAAUUAAAAUUCAUCUGGGAAUUUGUGCCUCUUAUCUACUAUAUAGUCACCACUAAAUAAUGGCUUCCGUUUUUAUUUUCUUUCAGGUUUUGCUUUAAAUUUUGUUUUCCAAAAUAGAUGUACGUGGAGGGAAAAGCAAUUAUUCUUAUCACCUUUUAUUUAAACUUCUUUAGAUGAAUACUGAAGAAAAAUCCAAACCUUAAAGGAAAUGUGCCCUUGUAUUUUAUGGGUGAGGGGAAAAAGUACAUUUGUACAUUUCAACAUAUAAUAAGCAAAAAAAUUACUAACCAGUUUAAUAAAAACAUUUUGUCUAUUCCUAAAUGUAAUUUGGUGGGUUAAGCACUUUGUGUAGUAAAAUGAUAUGUGUCUGCUCUAUCAUUAGACAUUUUAAAGUUUCAUGUCUUCACAUGAAUAAUCACAGUUGUAUCAUGAACCAUUUAGCACUCUGAAGCACAGUGACUUUGCACUGAUAUUGUCCAACCAAGAAUGCAUACGAAUAGAAAUUCAUUUUACUUGCUAAAUGUCACAGAAAUGGUUACUUUUUGCAAAUAGUAGUGUUGGAACAAAAAAGUGAUAUCCAAAAAGUGUAAAAACAGUAAUAAGUAGCAAAUCUCUCGUGUGUGUGGGUGUAGUUACUGAAACACCUACAUUUUCCAUUUUUAAAUUCCACCAAAAGGGGGAAAACAAAAUUAAACACCACUGAUCACAUUUUAUAUUUUAUGGUGACUAUUUUAGAUUAAGGUUUACUUUGUCCAACCAAUAGCAUUUAAAUUGUUUUCAAUUAGGAUAGUUUCAGAUAAGAGUAAACCAGAAAAUUUCAAGUUUGAAAAAUUUCUAGAAAAGAAUCUGAAUAGAAUCAAGUAUUUACUAGUGAAAAUCUGUAGGAUCCUUUGUUUAGCUAAAAAUUAAAUAUUUCAGGAUAUUUUUUGGAAGUUAGCAUGAAAAUAGUUAGUUACAUAAAUUCAUUUUAUUGUAGAAUAAUUAUAAGACCGAUAGGCUGAACCACACACAAAUAAGGUUGAUCUUGUUUUCCUUUUUGGAGAAAGAGAAUACAAAUUAACAUUAAAAUUGAAAUGUAGAAAGUAAAAUAUGAAUAAUUUUUUACAACCACUCCAAAUUAGUUGAAACAAAAUCUUGAACAGUCACGCACUUAAAUUUAAGCUAGCCAAAUAUGUUGCACUGAAUUUUGAAAAGAAUGAGUGAGAUAACUGUAAGAUACGCUCGUUCCCUUUUAAAAAUUGUUGUUUUUCUUUAACAUGGGUGCCAAAUAUGUUGCACUGAAUUUUGAAAAGAAUGAGUGAGAUAACUGUAAGAUACGCUCGUUCCCUUUUAAAAAUUGUUGUUUUUCUUUAACAUGGGUGCCAAAUCAAAUAUCCAUGGGCUAUACUUCUUAAGAUAAUAACAGCUCAAAAUAAUAUUUUUUAAUUCAGUAGAACUAAUAGCUUUAUGGAAAAGAUUCUAUUAAAUGUUCCACAGGCCCACUGGUCCUCUUAUAUAAGCCAAAUUUUGGCCAUGGAGCUUGUGAUACACUUGCCUUACAUUGUAGGGUUUCUUAAUUUGAGUCAAGUACACUGAAAGCAAUUAAAAACUGGUAAAUAUUAAUUUACUAUGUAAAGUGAACUUACGAAUUAACUUACUAAAUACAUAUAUGUAGACCUUCCCGAAAUGCCAUUCUCAAUUUUAUUUUAUGGGCUCUAAAAAAAAUUAUCUGGGUUAAUAAGGUUAUCUAUUAAAGCCCCCAGAAUCUCAGCACUAGAUGUUAUAAAUAUGAAAUGGUAAAAACAAGGUCACUUGAAAAUGGGUAUUUGAUACCUUAGCUGGUGUUUUCAGAAGCAUACAGAACUGGAAAGGUAAGAACUUGCUUACUAUUGCAGAUAUACCUGACCACUCACAACUGUCUUUUUAGCAGCGGCUUUCUUAAAACUGCACAAAGCAUUCACUUUAUUGAUUGAGUACAAAUGCUUUAGUGUUUCUACCUAAGUAUUAGUACAUCUGUUCAGGAAAUGAAAAAAAAAUGCUGCUUAAAUUUGUUUUAUCAACUGAGGUUGUGGAGGAUUUUUGUCCACUGAUCUUUUGCAACAGAAAAGCAUACUUUGUCAGCUUCUAAUAAGAUAGCCAGGUUUGAAUUAUUUGCAAAAUUUAUAUAAGCAAAUAAGAUCUCUUGGUAACAAUUCACAUUGCACUAGAAUUUGAAUGAUACUGUUGUUGGCAUUUCUGUUUCUCUUUCAAGUAGUUGUAAAUAAUCUCUUUUUCUCAUAUAAACGGAAUGCAUAAUGUCUUACUCUUGAGUCAUUUAGUAUCAUUGAUAUGGUACCAAGUUGUAUAGCAGAGUAACAAAAUCAUGAUUUGACAAUGAAAUUUACAUAUUGCCUCACCUAGAGAUGUUUUGUCUGUAUGACUUUUUUUUUUUUUAAAGUUUGUCUUACUGUUACUUUAAAUGUUUUGGGUAAAUUGUGUAAAAUGAAAAGUUCAAUAAAAUGUUGAAAUAAAGCCA